rnacentral:rRNA from 1 species
CCUACGGUGGGCAGCAGUGGGGAAUAUUGCACAAUGGGGGAAACCCUGAUGCAGCAACGCCGCGUGAACGAAGAAGUUAUUCGUAAUGUAAAGUUCUUUUAACAGGGAAGAAAGAGAAAUUUGACGGUACCUGAAGAAUAAGCUCCGGCUAACUACGUGCCAGCAGCCGCGGUAAUACGGAGGGAGCAAGCGGUAUCCGGAAUUAUUGGGCGUAAAGGGUGCGUAGAGGGCAUAGUAAGUUUUUUGUAAAAAUGCUGGGCUAAACCCAGUAGGGCAAAAGAUACUGCAAAGCUAGAGUAUGACAGAGGCAAGUGGAACUACAUGUGUAGCGGUAAAAUGCGUAAAUAUAUGUAAGAACACCAGUGGCGAAGGCGGCUUGCUGGGUCAAUACUGACAUUGAGGCACGAAAGCGUGGGGAGCAAACAGGAUUAGAUACCCGAGUAGUC